rnacentral:tRNA from 1 species
GUUUUAAUAGUUUAAUAAAAAUAUUGAUUUUGUAAAUCAAAAAUAAACCAUGUUUUUAAAACA